rnacentral:tRNA from 1 species
CGGGAAGUAGCUCAGCUUGGUAGAGCACAUGGUUUGGGACCAUGUGGUCGCAGGUUCAAAUCCUGUCUUCCCGACCA